rnacentral:rRNA from 1 species
CAGCCGCCGCGGGAAUACGGAGGGGGCUAGCGUUGUUCGGAAUUACUGGGCGUAAAGCGCACGUAGGCGGCUUUACAAGUCAGAGGUGAAAGCCUGGAGCUCAACUCCAGAAUUGCCUUUGAGACUGUAUCGCUUGAACACGGGAGAGGUGAGUGGAAUUCCGGGUGUAGAGGUGAAAUUCGUAGAUAUUCGGAAGAACACCAGUGGCGAAGGCGGCUCACUGGACCGUUGUUGACGCUGAGGUGCGAAAGCGUGGGGAGCAAACAGGAUUAGAUACCCGCGUAGUCCCUGUCUCUUAUAC